UGCAAGUCGAACGAAGUAGCAAUACUUAGUGGCAGACGGGUGAGUAACAUGUAGGUAUCUGCCCUUUGGCCUGGAAUAACACGAGGAAACUUGUGCUAAUACUGGAUAAGUCUUUACGGAGAAAGCUUUAUGCACCAUUGGAUGAGCCUGCACUUGAUUAGUUUGUUGGUGGGGUAAUGGCCUACCAAGACUUUGAUCAAUAGCUGAUUUGAGAGGAUGAUCAGCCACAUUGGGACUGAGACACGGCCCAAACUCCUACGGGAGGCAGCAGUGGGGAAUCUUGCACAAUGGAGGAAACUCUGAUGCAGCGAUGCCGCGUGAGUGAAGAAGGCCUUUGGGUUGUAAAGCUCUUUCGUCGGGGAAGAAAAUGACUGUACCCGAAUAAGAAGGUCCGGCUAACUUCGUGCCAGCAGCCGCGGUAAUACGAAGGGACCUAGCGUAGUUCGGAAUUACUGGGCUUAAAGAGUUCGUAGGUGGUUGAAAAAGUUGGUGGUGAAAUCCCAGAGCUUAACUCUGGAACUGCCAUCAAAACUUUUCAGCUAGAGUUCGAUAGAGGAAAGCAGAAUUUCUAGUGUAGAGGUGAAAUUCGUAGAUAUUAGAAAGAAUACCAAAUGCGAAGGCAGCUUUCUGGAUCAUUACUGACACUGAGGAACGAAAGCAUGGGUAGCGAAGAGGAUUAGAUACCCUCGUAGUCCAUGCCGUAAACGAUGUGUGUUAGACGUUGGAAAUUUAUUUUCAGUGUCGCAGCGAAAGCGAUAAACACACCGCCUGGGGAGUACGACCGCAAGGUUAAAACUCAAAUGAAUUGACGGGGACCCGCACAAGUAGUGGAGCAUGUGGUUUAAUUCGAAGAUACGCGCAGAACCUUACCAACACUUGACAUGUUCGUCGCGACUUUAAGAGAUUAAAGUUUUCGGUUCGGCCGGACGAAACACAUGUGCUGCAUGGCUGUCGUCAGCUCGUGUCGUGAGAUGUUGGG
rnacentral:rRNA from 1 species